rnacentral:rRNA from 1 species
ACGCUCGACACCUACGGGAGGCAGCAGUGGGGAAUAUUGCACAAUGGGGGAAACCCUGAUGCAGCGACGCCGCGUGGAGGAAGAAGGUCUUCGGAUUGUAAACUCCUGUUGUUAGGGGAAAAAGAGGAUGGUACCCAACAAGGAAGUGACGGCUAACUACGUGCCAGUAGCCGCGGUAAUCUGAGCCGGGGCUGGCAAGGC